UGAUCCUGCCGGAGGCUACCGCUAUUGGAGUUCGAUUAAGCCAUGCGAGUCGAGAGUCUUAGGGACUCGGCGUACCGCUCAGUAACACGUGGGUAACCUGCCCUAUGCUGGGGAAUAACCUCGGGAAACUGAGAAUAAUGCCCCAUAGUUCACUACGCCUGGAACGGUGAGUGGAUGAAAGCUCCGGCGGCAUAGGAUGGGCCUGCGGCGUAUCAGGUCGUAGGGGGUGUAACGUACCCUCUAGCCAUCGACGCGUACGGGUGUUGGGAGACAUAGCCCGGAGAUGGAUUCUGAGACACGAAUCCAGACCCUACGGGGUGCAGCAGGCGCGAAAACUUGGCAAUGCGAGAAAUCGUGACCAGGGAACUCCAAGUGGCUGGGGUAAGACCCAGUCUUUUCUUGACUCUUCAAAGGUCUUGGAAUAAGAGGUGGGUAAGGACGGUGCCAGCCGCCGCGGUAAUACCGGCGCCUCAAGUGGUAGUCGAUUUUAUUGGGCCUAAAACGUCCGUAGCCUGUUUGGUACAUUCGUGGGUAAAUCAACCAGCUCAACUGGUUGAAUUCUGCGAGCACGGCCAGACUUGGGACCGGGAGAGGUGUGGGGUACGCUCAGGGUAGGGGUAAAAUCCUGUCAUCCUGAGCGGACCACCUGUUGCGAAGGCGCCACACUAGAACGGAUCCGACGGUCAGGGACGAAGCCUAGGGGCACGAACCGGAUUAGAUACCCGGGUAGUCCUAGGUGUAAACGCUGUGGACUUGGUGUUGGGGAUUCUCCGAGGAUUCUCAGUGCCGAAGCGAAGGUGAUAAGUCCACUGCCUGGGGAGUACGGUCGCAAGGCUGAAACUUAAAGGAAUUGGCGGGGGAGCACCGCAACCUGAGGAUUGUGCGGUUUAAUUGGAUCAACGCCGGG
rnacentral:rRNA from 1 species